CCCUAUUGGCCUGCUGUUUCCAGGGCGACCGAGCAGGGAUAAUGUGUCAGUGUGAUAGGACAGCCUCUUUAGAUGGAGGUAUUAUCCUGUGGAGAGAGGCUUUACAUGAUGCUUAAAUAUAUAUUUAAAGGAACGAGCUUCAAGGUUUUGUAAUUUUGCACAAUUUCCGAUCCCCCAUCCAGCUCAGCACUGCUCUGAGGUCACUCGCUUUGAGGUCACUACCUCUGAGGUCACUCGCUUUGAGGUCACUACCUCUGAGGUCACUCGCUUUGAGGUCACUACCUCUGAGGUCACUCGCUUUGAGGUCACUACCUCUGAGGUCACUCGCUUUGAGGUCACUACCUCUGAGGUCACUCGCUUUGAGGUCACUACCUCUGAGGUCACUCGCUUUGAGGUCACUACCUCUGAGGUCACUCGCUUUGAGGUCACUACCUCUGAGGUCACUACCUCUGAGGUCACUACCUCUGAGGUCACUACCUCUGAGGUCACUCGCUCUGAGGUCACUACCUCUGAGGUCACUCGCUCUGAGGUCACUACCUCUGCCCUUUUUGCAUAAGGCUCUUU